GGUUCAUUCAAAUUUCUGCCCUAUCAACUUUCGAUGGUAGGAUAGUGGCCUACCAUGGUAUCAACGGGUAACGGGGAAUUAGGGUUCGAUUCCGGAGAGGGAGCCUGAGAAACGGCUACCACAUCCAAGGAAGGCAGCAGGCGCGCAAAUUACCCAAUCCCGACCGGGGAGGUAGUGACAAUAAAUACUGAUACAGGGCUCUUUUGGGUCUUGUAAUUGGAAUGAGUACAAUUUAAAUCCCUUAACGAGGAACAAUUGGAGGGCAAGUCUGGUGCCAGCAGCCGGGUAAUUCCAGCUCCAAUAGCGUAUAUUAAAGUUGUUGCAGUUAAAAAGCUCGUAGUUG
rnacentral:rRNA from 1 species